rnacentral:lncRNA from 1 species
ACUUUUAAGCCACAGCUUCCUUGGGUUCCCAUCUCUCAGCCUCCCAGUGUGUCCCCACACUGGGGGUCUUCUCUAGCUGUGAGCUCUCCUGGACUGCUUUCUCCACUCCCCCAGGGGCAGCACUCAGCCCCUCAGCCUCUUAAAGCACCCACAUCUGGCCAGGCACACUCACCUGUCUGUGAAUCAGACACAUGGCCCGGCAACCCUAUGAGAAACCUGAUUUCCAGGUGGUAAAUUUUCAAACUCAAGGAGCUCAUGUGCCACCCUCCUUAUCAAGUGGUGUCAACCAAAGAAACAGGAACAGGAGUUGUUGCAUGGGGAUGAGUCAGGUGAAAAGCGUACCCUUUGGCACACUGCCUUCCUUCUUCUACCUUCUGGAAUGAGGAUUUGAUGGCUGGAGCCCCGACAGUCAUUUUGGAGCACAAGGCAAACUUCAAGGUAGAAACAGUAUUGAAGUAGCAGAGCAGAAAGAUGGAAGGGGUCUAAGUCCCUGAGGACUUUGAGGAACUGCCAUCCCGCUUCUGAGUAGCCACCUCAUGCCUACUUUAUUUCACAGGGAAAUAAACCUCAAUCUUGCUUAAACCACUUAUAUGUGUCCUUUAUUUGUAGUGAACCGAUUUUAAAAAAGAAAGAUUACAAUC